rnacentral:misc_RNA from 1 species
GAUGAAGAACGCAGCGAAAUGCGAUAAGUAGUGUGAAUUGCAGAAUUCAGUGAAUCAUCGAAUCUUUGAACGCACAUUGCGCCCCAUGGUAUUCCAUGGGGCAUGCCUGUUCGAGCGUCAUUUGUACCCUCAAGCUUUGCUUGGUGUUGGGUGUUUGUCCCGCGUUGCGCGUGGACUCGCCUUAAAGCGAUUGGCAGCCGGCAUAUUGGCCUUGGAGCGCAGCACAUUUUGCGCUUCUAGUCAUGAAUGUUGGCGUCCAUUAAGCCUAUACAUUUGCUCUUGACCUCGGAUCAGGUAGGGAUACCCGCUGAACUUAAGCAUAUCAAUAAGCGGAGGA